GUGCUUGCUUCAGCAGCACACAUACUAAAAUUUAUGACUGAUACAAAGAUUAGCAUGGCAUCUGCUCAAGGAUGCAAUGCAAAGCUGUGAAGGGUUUCAUAUUUUC